rnacentral:rRNA from 1 species
CAAUAGCGUAUAUUAAAGUUGUUGCGGUUAAAGAGCUCGUAGUUGGAUUUCUGCUGAGAACGACCGGUCCGCCCUUUGGGUGUGUAUCUGGCUCUUUCUUGGCAUCUUCUUGGUGAACGUUGCUGCACUUGACUGUGUGGAGCGCUACCCAGGACUUUUACUUUGAGGAAAUUAGAGUGUUUCAAGCAGGCAUACGCCUUGAAUACAUUAGCAUGGAAUAAUAAGAUAGGACCUCGGUUCUAUUUUGUUGGUUUCUAGAGCUGAGGUAAUGAUUAAUAGGGAUAGUUGGGGGCAUUCGUAUUUAACUGUCAGAGGUGGAAUUCUUGGAUUUGUUAAAGACGGACUACUGCGAAAGCAUUUGCCAAGGAUGUUUUCAUUGA